UGGGAAUUUUGGACAAUGGGCGCAAGCCUGAUCCAGCAAUGCCGCGUGCAGGAUGAAGGCCUUCGGGUUGUAAACUGCUUUUGUACGGAACGAAACGGCUCUGUCUAAUACAGAGACUUAAUGACGGUACCUGAAGAAUAAGCACCGGCUAACUACGUGCCAGCAGCCGCGGUAAUACGUAGGGUGCAAGCGUUAAUCGGAAUUACUGGGCGUAAAGCGUGCGCAGGCGGUUAUGCAAGACAGAGGUGAAAUCCCCGGGCUCAACCUGGGAACUGCCUUUGUGACUGCAUAGCUAGAGUACGGUAGAGGGGGAUGGAAUUCCGCGUGUAGCAGUGAAAUGCGUAGAUAUGCGGAGGAACACCGAUGGCGAAGGCAAUCCCCUGGGCCUGCACUGACGCUCAUGCACGAAAGCGUGGGGAGCAAACA
rnacentral:rRNA from 1 species